rnacentral:rRNA from 1 species
UACGGGGGGGGCAAGCGUUGUUCGGAAUUACUGGGCGUAAAGGGCGCGUAGGCGGCCCGCUAAGUCGAACGUGAAAUCCCUGGGCUCAACCCAGGAACUGCGUCCGAUACUGGCAGGCUUGAAUCCGGGAGAGGGAUGUGGAAUUCCAGGUGUAGCGGUGAAAUGCGUAGAUAUCUGGAGGAACACCGGUAGCGAAGGCGGCACCCUGGGCCGAUACUGACACUGAGGAGCGAAAGCGUGGGGAGCGAACAGG